UUGCAUUAGGGGUAGAAGCGGCAUCCUUUUUUGUCGCAGAAGGGGACAAAAAAGAUAUAGUGGAUGACCCGACCUACU
rnacentral:sRNA from 1 species